UCAGCUAAACCUCGCUUGGAAGGGGUAUUAUAGUAAAAACCAAGCCCUCGGGCUCCUGGUGAUCAUAAUAAUUCUCAGAUCGCAUGCCCUGCGCCGGCGACGGUUCAUUCAAAUUCUGCCCUAUCAACUUUCGAUGGUACGGUAUUGGCGUACCAUGGUGGCAACGGGUAACGGGGAAUUAGGGUUCGAUUCCGGAGAGUUAGCCUGAGAAACGGCUAACACAUCCAAGGAAGGCAGCAGGCGCGCAAAUUACCCAAUCCCGACACGGGGAGGUAGUGACAAUAAAUACUGAUACAGGGCUCUUUUGGGUCUUGUAAUUGGAAUGAGUACAAUUUAAACCUCUUAACGAGGAACAAUUGGAGGGCAAGUCUGGUGCCAGCAGCCGCGGUAAUUCCAGCUCCAAUAGCGUAUAUUAAAGUUGUUGCAGUUAAAAAGCUCGUAGUUGAACCUUUGGCCUGGCUGGCAGGUCCGCCUCACCGCGUGCACUUGUCCGGCCGGGCCUUUUCUUCUGGAGAACCUCAUGCUCUUCAUUGGGUGUGUUGGGGACCAGGACUUUUACUUUGAAAAAAUUAGAGUGUUCAAAGCAGGCCUUUGCUCGAAUACGUUAGCAUGGAAUAAUAGAAUAGGACGUGCGGUUCUAUUUUGUUGGUUUCUAGGACCGCCGUAAUGAUUAAUAGGGACAGUCGGGGGCAUCAGUAUUCAAUUGUCAGAGGUGAAAUUCUUGGAUUUAUUGAAGACUAACUACUGCGAAAGCAUUUGCCAAGGAUGUUUUCAUUAAUCAGUGAACGAAAGUUAGGGGAUCGAAGACGAUCAGAUACCGUCGUAGUCUUAACCAUAAACUAUGCCGACUAGGGAUCGGGCGGUGUUAUUAUUUUGACCCGCUCGGCACCUUACGAGAAAUCAAA
rnacentral:rRNA from 1 species